UCCAGCUGCCAAGGGAUCUUUUCGUGCAAGCCAAUGUAUACAUGGUACCUCGGUUUUUUGUCCCAUCUGAGUGACUAGACUACUGUCCUUGUUCCUGCACCUCUGACAAGGGGAAACCAUGUCGGAAAAUCCUGAUGAACUUUCUCCACCAAUGCAGGGAUCGAACACGUGCCCUCCGGAUUACCGAGCCAGCAUCUUACGCACUUAGCCACCAUGGCUUUAUCAAAAUUAGUAAUGAAGAUGUGCUAUGACAGAAAUUUUGCCUGGACAGCAGCAUUACCGCACUUACUAAUGAAGAAGUGCUAGGAAAGACAUUUUGCCUGGAGAGCAGCAUUUCCACAUAUAGUCAUUACCAAUAGUUCUAAGUGCACGCCAACCUGUAAAACAUGUCUUUACACACUUUUCCAUCAUUACCAAUUACUAGUCUGCGGGUUCACUAGUCUGUGGGUGCACUAAUCCGUGCAUUCACUAGUCCACUAGUCUGACUCUAUAAAAUACUAUAAAUAUGAGUAUUAAAGAAACCCAGUAGAUAUGGUGACUGAUAUCACCCUUCGUAAGGCGAUAACCCAACAUCACGGCAUUUUAACCCGAAAUCACAACAUUUUAACCAUUAUAGCAUAUGCCCUUCUUCAUUAGCCCACUUGGAACAAAAUAGUAGGAUGUUCAAACCCCAUUUAAAAUUCAUUUUUAUACUUUUCUGAACCAAUCGGACUAUUGAAGAUAGUCAUACGCAAUGCAGAGUGCUAUGACGGAAAUUUUCUAUGGACUGUGGCAGGGCGGAGGAUCUGGCAAGGGAUAAGGUAUAGUUGUUCGGGUCAUACGAAAAAUCAAGUCCUCGUGUACAUAUUGGCAUGCACGUAAAAGACACUCCGACAGUUGUAAUUCAAUAUCAGAGUAGGCCAUAGUGCCGCUAUCCGUGCAAAGUUUCCGUCAUAGUACACUGUAUAUAGUGUAUGCCUGUCUUCAUUAGCUCACUCAGAGCAAAACAGUAGGAUGUUUAAUCUCAUUUAAUUUUAUUUAAUUUUCCUACUUUUCUGCACCAAUGGGACUAUAAAAGAUAGGCUGGCAAGCGGACGAGUGCACCCAUUGACUAUUGAGCAUCAUUUACUUGAAAACGUUGAGAGAACCCUCAACGAAAUGUCGCUUUAAUUAAAAUAGUAAUUGUGUUUUUUGUUGUAUCAUCGAGUCAAGUGAACGUUAAACCCCAUUUCUCUCUCUCUCAAUUUUGAUACCCAUAAAUUUGACAAAACAAAUAAUGAUUGUCGGAAACUGUUUCAUAAAGCAAAGUUGUUCUCUACUAAAAGGUUAUCACUGUCCAAAUGUUAGGAGUAGUCCACACCUAGGCCGACUAUGCAUGAAGUGUUUUUAUAAUUAAAUUUAUUAAAUAUAGUACCUUGCAUCAGUAAAUAUAAAAUUAAUGAUCCUUUCACCAGUAAAUAUAAAUUAAAAUUACCCGAUUUGAUUAUUCUUUUAAUAUAACGUAAUCAUGUAACCUCAUAUAAAAUAUGGUAGAGCGUAUACAAACAAAUAAUAUGAAUAGAUUCAUUAUCAGAAAUAUUACAGGCCUUUCAAACGAACAGUCGCCAUUUUUAGACCUAAAUACAUGUAGAUGUACAAAUAUAUUUUUAUCGUCUCGGGCAAGGUCAAGGUCACGAUCUGUUCACUGUUGAUGAUUGUGUUUAAAUCGGUUUAUAUCAUAUUAUUUCUAUUCACAUUACAAUAUUUUUUUUAUAGGUUACGGUUAUUGUUGUUAUUUAUCAAAAUUGCUUCAAUUAUUUAUUAAAUAUUUUUUGUUUGUUCGUUUGACCGGAACGUACGGAAUUCUGGGAUUUAAAAUGGCGGCAUAGGUAAUUAUUUUUCCCAAAGAAGAAAUGAUGCCGUGAUUUAAAGUUAAAUAAAGCUAUUCCACACAUACACACACGAUUUUGGAUUCAGCAAAGUAAAGUUGAAGAUCCUACAUGUAUAUUUGAGCACCCGUGGUGGCAGUAAUGACAAAGAAGUUCUAAAAAGAUUUAUAUGGGCUUUAUAAUGAAAGUUAGACAACACUACUACUUGCCAAACACUACUACUUGUCACAUAAUGUAAUGAUAUAAAUAUAUAUGUAUCUAUGGUAGCACAAAUAUCAUCAGAAUGUAGGCCAAAGCUUUACAAGCAUUGUAGGCCUAAAAUACUUUCUGUCUGAACUUUUGACAGUCAAUUCUUUGAUGACUAGUUAGUUUAGAGCAGAUAUCCUGUCACAGUAUUAUAUAACAGCUCUUUGGCUUAAAAUUUAAACUGAGUUGUAUCAGUGAGUUGAAAAUCAUCUGUGUUCCUGUUAUUGCUCCCUGCUGCAGCCAGUAAACAAUAACCUUUUGCGUUCCUUACAAAUCUUCCAAUUUUUACUGAUAGAUCAACCAUAGCAAAGAUCUCUAUUAAGAUUAUAUUUGUAAUGUGUGUAACAAAUUCUAUGACAUAGGUAUAAUAUUGGUGUAGUUAAGUAUAUACCAUAUUUAUGCACACAUUUCAAUAUUGGCAUAUUAUUAGUCUCUAUCAUCUAGAAAAAAAUAUUCUAUAUUCUACGAAUAUUAGUGUGGUUGCGUUGUCAACAUUUGAGAAUAAUCGGUCAUAGGCUAGAUUAUCCGGUCUUUUACAUUAUCAUAAACAAAGUCUAAGGGAGGUAACUAGUCCUAAAACAAGAUGUUGACGCCCAUGAAAUUUAUAUAAGAAUGCCAUUUCCGAAAAUCCAUUUGAUUGCAUUGUCAGUUCAAUAUCCAACACUCUUAAUUUUUUUUAUUGUAAAAUUUCUCUCUUCAUGGGCCAUAUCUAUGUUUUUUUUUUUAUUGAAUCCUAAUUCGUCAUCGCUAUUCAUGUUUGUUUAUAAAUGCAAGUGUUAUUGACAACUGUCCCAGACCCUCAUUAUUUAUAUGGCCCAACUUUUCUUCGGGGUACACCGGCACGGUAUUAGACUAGGAUAAACAUUAGUCUUAUAUACCGCCUCUACUUAAUUAUGGAUGUAGGUCGGAAAAAUGUAAAAUUUGGCAAUUUGACUUAUACUCAACAUCGACUUAUGCUAUAACUGUUUCAAAUGACAAGUGCUAAAUGAAGUAUUUAUGCGGUCUUUGGUGAAAGAAAUGAAAUGAAAUGGGGUUUAACGUCCUACUGUUCUGCUCCUAACCUGGGCUAAUGAAGACGAGCAUAUGCCAUACAGUGUGCUAUGAGGGAAAUUUUGCCUGGGCAGCGGGGCUACGGCCUACUCUUAUAUCGAAUUCCAACUGCCAAGGGAUCUUUUACGUGCACGCCAAUGUAUACACGGGACCCCGUUUUUUUGUCCCAUAACGACUAGACAGCUGUCCUUGUCAGUCCCUCUGUCCUGCAUCACUGACAAGGGAAACCACGCCGGAAAAUCAGGAUGAACUUUCUCGGCCAAUACAGGGAUCAAACACCCGACCUCCAGGCUAGCGAGCCAGCGUCUCACCCACUUAGCCACUUGAUCCCCCCCUUUGGUGAAAAAGAGAGAGAGAGAAAUGGGGUUUACUGUCAACUGGACACAAACUAGGUCAUUUCGGGACUAACAUGGUUUAAUUUUUCAUUUACAUAAUUCGCUUGCGCGUAGGGGUCUUUAGCAGGGGGAGGACACCGGACGACCCGGAGAAAACCCACGAGGUUGGACAGGCGACCCUACUCCUUGCCACGUACAACCGGGGAUUCGAAACCACGCCAGUCGACUCAAUGACAGACUUUAUGAUACAGCGCGCGCUAACCAUUCAGCCAUCCACCCCCCCCCCCCUUUGGUGAAAGAAAACAGAGCUGUGGCUAGUGAAAUGAAAGUUUAACGUCCUACUGUUUUGCUCUGAACUGGGCUAAUGAAGAUGGGCAUACGCCAUACAGUGUGCUAUGUGGGAAAUUUUGCCCGGACAGUGGCACUACGGCCUUCUCUUAUAUCGAAUUCUAAUUUCAAGGGCUCUUGUACGUGCACGCCAAUGUGUACAUGGGACCUCAUUUUUUUGUCCCAUUUUAAUGACUAGAUAGCUGUCUUGUCUAGCCCUCUGUCCUGCAUCACUGACAAGGGAGAACCACGCCGGAAAAUCUGGAGUAACUUUCUCGGCCAAUGCAAGGAUCGAACACCCGACCUCCAGACUAGAUAGCCAGUGUCUUACCGACUUAACCAACGUGAUCCCCGUUGUGGCUACAAUUCCUGGAUUUGAAGGUCAGGUAUGAUAUGAAACGAAUAUUUUGAACCGGUUCACCAAUGCAACCAAUCUGUGACGGGUUAACCGAUAGAGGGUUACAUCCUUGAUAUAAAUAUACUUGUCGCAGGUUUUAAAAAUAGAAAGAUAUAUAUAAAGGUAGCUCAAAAUUCAUCUCUACAUAUACAUAGGCCAAGGGGGGAUCAUGUGGCUAAGUGGGUAAGACGCUGACUCGCUAGCCUUGAGGUCGGGUGUUCGAUCCCUGCAUUGGCCGAGAAAGUUCAUCCUGAUUUUCCGGUGUGGUUUCUCAUUGUCAGUGAUGCAGGACGGAGGGCCUGACGAGGACAGCUGUCUAGUCGUUUGGAUGGGACAAAAAAAACAAGGUCCAGUGUACACAUUGGCAGUUGGAAUUCGAUACAAGAGUAGGCCAUAGCGCUGCUGCCUGGGCAAAAUUUCCCUCAUAGCACACUGUAUGGCGUAACCUUUUGCGUCUCUUCAAAAUAUUUCAAAUCUUUUGUCAUGGAUCAACCAUUGCAAAUAUCCGUGUUACAAUUAUAUUUGAAAUGUGUUAAACCAAUUCUGCAACACAUGUAAUAUUGGUGUAGUAUAUAUCUUUGUAUAUACACCCACAUAUCAAUUUUGGCCCUGUUUGUCCGUACACUGGGUGUGAAAUGUGAAUCAUUCCGAUUGUGAGAGGACAAGCAUUAUCAAUAUACAGCUUUUCAGGACUUUGCCUUCCUUGGUUAAUUCUCCUUUUUUCAAAUGCAAUAGAUGCUGUGUUUAUUCUUAAUUGAUCUUUUUCAAAUUUGUGUUACACACUAGAAUCAUGAGAGGACAAAACCUAUCAAUAUUCAGUAUUCCACAACAUUCCAUUCCAGUGUCGGCCGAGAAAAUUCUUCGUGAUUUCCAGACUUGGUUUCCUCCCCUUGUCAGAGGUGCAGGACAGAGGGCCUGACAAGGAGGGACAGCUGUCUAGUCGUUUGGAAGGUACGAAUGACCGAGGUCCUGUGCACACAUUGGUUCGCACGUGAAAGAUCCCUUGGCAGUUUGAAUUCGAUAUAAGAGUAGGCUUUAGCGCCACUGUCUGGAAAAAAUUCCAUAAUAGGACACUGUAUAGCAUAUUUCCAUGUCAUUAGCCCUGUCGGAAUAGGACAUUAAACCCCAUUUCAUUUCACUCAUUCCAAAGUUAACUCCUAUUCCAUCAAUACCUUGAGCAAAUAAGAUAGAGGCUAUAGGUUUUGGCCCAAUUUGGUCAAUAUCCCAGUUUUUUCUUUCUUAUAUGCAUAUCAACACUUUCAUAGCGCUAAUGUAGACCUUUUUCUUGAACAUUUUCCCUUGUCAGUGAUGCCGGACAGAGGACCUGACAUGGAUGGCUGACUAGUCAUACGGAAGGGACAAAAAAAAACCCAAGGUACAGUGUAAACUCAAGUGUGUGUGUGUGAAAGAUCCCUUGGCAGUUGGAAUUUUAUAUAAGAGUACGCCAUAGCUCUGCACACUGUGUGGCAUAUGCCCGUCUUCAUUUCUCAAACAGCUGUGGAUAAAAACUGUUAAUAUUUAAAUGUGUAUUUUGUAUUUUAUAACAUUAUAUUUUUGUCUUUUAAAUAAAGUAUAUGUAUACAUA